rnacentral:rRNA from 1 species
AGCAAACGCUGGCGGCGUGCCUAAUACAUGCAAGUCGAACGGGGAAAGUAGCAAUACGAGUACUAGUGGCGCACGGGUGAGGAACACGUGGGUAAUCUGCCUUCGAGCGGGGGAUAACUAAUCGAAAGAUUGGCUAAUACCGCAUAAGACCACAAGAUCUGCGGAUCUAGGGGUCAAAGCCGCAAGGCACUUGAAGAUGAGCCCGCGUAAGAUUAGGUAGUCGGUGAGGUAACGGCUCACCAAGGCGAUGAUCGUUAGCUGGUCUGAGAGGAUGAUCAGCCACACUGGAACUGAGACACGGUCCAGACUCCUACGGGAGGCAGCAGUAGGGAAUAUUGCGCAAUGGGGGCAACCCUGACGCAGCGACGCCGCGUGAGUGAUGAAGGCCUUCGGGUCGUAAAGCUCUGUUAUAUGGGAAUAAGAUCUGAAUGUACCAUGUGAGAAAGGAUCGGCUAACUUCGUGCCAGCCGCCGCUGUAA